UUCAUAAUUCCAAUUCAAAAUAAUGCUAACCAUUGUUAAUUCAUAGUGGCAUUACCAAUCAAAAUAUACAUAUAUAGUCUAAAACAUACAUCUUAAUAAUUUACAUCGGGUUUGUUUAUACACAACAAAAGGGAUACUCGACUUCCAAUGGAGAGACCCGGGCGAAAGUAUAGCUAUUGAAUGCCGAGAUACCUACCAAGGAGAUGAAUCUACGAGGACACCUCGACCUACUUACCGACUGCCUCUUGAUCUGAAAACAUGAAGUUGAAAACAGUAAGUAUAAACCCAAUGAGUGAACAAAAGAAGGGAACAAGCAAACGAUAAGAAAAUUUUAAGAAAUCAUGAUGCAUUUAUUUUCAAAAACAAUGCAAUUUAGUUUAAUUAUUGUUAAAACCCCUCAUUAAACCCUUAAUUGGUUAAUCACUUGAUGAUGAAGGAUCCAUACAUAACAAAGAAUUUGAAGAUUGAAAACUUUAGUAGCAUUCAAGCAAGUCAAGUGAAAUGACGGGUCCUCGUUGCAGCGAAAAGGCAUUCUUACUGCAGCGUAAUGAAUUUUUACUGCAGCGAAAUUUGGCUCAAAUUAUCAACUGGCUGAGGGUUUCUCACUAAAACCCUUCAUUUCAAACUUAAUUAAUUAAUUCCUUGAUGUUGGAAGUCCAUGAUCAACUAUGGUGCUAAAAAAGUGGAAAAUAGGGCAGCAACCAAACAAGGUAACAAGCAUAACAAAAGGUCUCUCGCUGCAGCGAGAAUUCAUCUCGCUGUAGUGAAAUUCCCUGUAGACAUCUUGCUGCAGCGAGUUACAGAGCUACAGUGAGCCUCCCAACUCGAGAGUUUCUCGCUGUAGUGAGAAACAGAACACCAAGAAAAACUCUCAUUACGUCAAGCAAAGACCAUUCUGCUGCAAAGACAAAAUCAACUUGAAAAUACUCAACAAUGUUCAAGGUUCAACAUGCAAGAUUUCACCUACAUUACAACCAUAUACCAUAUUCAUGAACUUUCUAUUGCAUAAAUAUAUAUAUAUAUAUACAUACAUAACCACCAAUACCACCACCGCCUCACCCAGCUCAUGUGCAACCCCCACAUCUCGCACAUAGCUAGAGUCAUCAUGUGCAUCCCCCACAUCGUGCACAACUAAUACCGCCAUGUGCAACCCCCACAUCGCGCACGGGCAAUAUCAUCAUCCACACUCCCGCACCUGUCAUCACCG
rnacentral:lncRNA from 1 species